CCUACGGGAGGCAGCAGUGAGGAAUAUUGGUCAAUGGACGGAAGUCUGAACCAGCCAUGCCGCGUGCAGGAAGACGGCCCUAUGAGUUGUAAACUGCUUUUGUACAAGGGUAAACCUGAAUACGUGUAUUCAGCUGAAAGUACUGUACGAAUAAGGAUCGGCUAACUCCGUGCCAGCAGCCGCGGUAAUACGGAGGAUCCAAGCGUUAUCCGGAUUUAUUGGGUGUCAAGGGUGCGUAGGCGGAUUGAUCAGUUAGAGGUGAACUGUCCGGGCUUAACUCAGGAACUGCCUCUAAUACUGUUGAUCUAGAGAGUAGAUGCGGUAGGCGGAAUGUAUGGUGUAGCGGUGAAAUGCUUAGAGAGCAUACAGAACACCGAUUGCGAAGGCAGCUUACCAAUCUAUAUCUGACGUUGAGGCACGAAAGCGUGGGGAGCAAACAGGAUUAGAUACCCGAGUAGUC
rnacentral:rRNA from 1 species